rnacentral:rRNA from 1 species
UGGGGAAUAUUGCACAAUGGGCGAAAGCCUGAUGCAGCAACGCCGCGUGAGGGACGACGGCCUUCGGUUGUAACCUCUUUUAGCAAGGAAGAAGCGAAAGUGACGGUACUUGCAGAAAAAGCGCCGGCUAACUACGUGCCAGCAGCCGCGGUAAUACGUAGGGCGCAAGCGUUAUCCGGAAUUAUUGGGCGUAAAGAGCUCGUAGGCGGUUUGUCGCGUCUGCUGUGAAAACCCGAGGCUCAACCUCGGGCCUGCAGUGGGUACGGGCAGACUAGAGUGCGGUAGGGGAGAUUGGAACUCCUGGUGUAGCGUGGAAUGCGCAGAUAUCAGGAAGAACACCGAUGGCGAAGGCAGAUCUCUGGGCCGUAACUGANGCUGAGGAGCGAAAGGGUGGGGAGCAAACAGGCUUANAUACCCUGGUAGUCCACCCGUAAACGUUGGGAACUAGUUGUGGGUCCAUUCCACGGAUUCCGUGACGCAGCUAACGCAUUAAGUUCCCCGCCUGGGGAGUACGGCCGCAAGGCUAAAACUCAAAGGAAUUGACGGGGUC